rnacentral:lncRNA from 1 species
GUACAGCUAGUAGUCAUCCAAUAUAUGAGCAGUGUUGAAAAUACAUUCUACAAACAAAGGGAGUCAGCGUGAGUUUGGAAAAUAGUUUAUAAGAGAUUAUGUGCUGGGCAAGGAAGACAAAGAUAAGGAGGUAGAGAGAGAGAGAGCUCAGCAAUUUUUCCUUAAGAUCUAGAGAAAUCUAGAAUUCAUGCUAAAUGAUGACCAUUACCUAUGAUUGCGGCCUUCUCUUCUGU